rnacentral:rRNA from 1 species
UAAGGAAUCUUUCGCAAUGGGGGCAACCCUGACGAAGCAACACCGCGUGAAGGAUGAAGGCCGUAAGGUCGUAAACUUCUUUUCUGGGGGAGAAAUUCUGAUAGUACCCUAGGAAUAAGUAGCUGCUAACUUCGUGCCAGCAGCAGCGGUAAUACGAAGGCUACAAUCGUUAUCCGGAAUUAUUGGGCGUAAAGCGUCUUCUCGGCGGAAUGGCAAGUUGGAUGUCAAAUCCCAGAGCUCAACUCUGGACCGGUAUCCAAAACUCCUAUUCUAGAGUUAUGGAGAGGUACAUGGAAUUCUGCAUGUAGGGGUAAAAUCCGUAGAUAUGCAGAGGAACACCAAAAGCGAAGGCAGUGUACUGGCCAUUAACUGACGCUCACAGACGAAAGCGUGGGGAGCGAAAAGG